CCUAUUCUAUACUUUACUGCCUCUAAAUUUAGAUGUAGCAUUACCACCAGCCUCUAAAUUUAGAGAUUGGUGGUAAAUGGUUGGUGGUAAUACCCCGGGAGAAAAUAAAUAAGGAUCGAAACCAUUCUUAUCCCCGACUGAUUUCUAGUAACUUCCAUUGAUCGGCCGGUUCAUCUGCUCGUCAGAUAUCCCCUCCCACCCACGCGUCCACUUCUAUCCCUAAAGCACCAGGCACCAGCGCCCGCUCUCUUUCCUCCUCUCUUCUCUCUGUCCACAGGGCGAGCAGCUGUCCGCAUCGCAGGCCGCGCCGGGCGUUGAGCGCCCUCGCUCCUCCUGGAGUUCCAUCUCUUCCUCUCCCUUCUCCCCUAUGGAGCUUUGUCACAUGAAUGACUUUAUAAAGGUUGAGUUCAUGUCUAUGGGCUUCAAAGUUAUGGAGAUUGAGGAAAUUAGUUCGUCGUGACCCGAUUCGUCUCAAAUGAGACCCUGGAGAGCCGGGUUCGUUGUGGGGGCAGGUUUAAAACGCCGGAGAUUGUGUCACGUGGAGGCGGAUAUGUUGCCCUUCCAUGCCCGCAAUAACAUACUGGGUAUCCACUAGUGGGUGUGAUGCGAGAGAUUCUUUUCGCACUCUGCAAAUUCGACACGCAGGACUUUGAUUGUUGAUAUGAGUUUUAUGACCAAUGUCGCGACGAGUUUUUGUUGUUGCAAUGAGUUUUGAGGGACAAUGUUACGAUGAGCUUUCGAUGUUGCCCGUAAAAAAAAAUACUGCAUUCAGGAUUUUGAUGCUGUGACGAGUGAACGGACAAGUUUUAGCUUUUAAAGUGGAUCCAGGCGACGGUUGGGGUUGCUCCAUUAUCCGACUGACGCCUAGCUAGGAUUGGACGUAAAAGCUCGUGAGUUCAAUGAGUGCUCGGUAGCUCGACUCAUUUAGUUCAUGCUCAUUAACUUGGUCCUGCUCGCCGAUGCCAGACCUGCCAUGAUGCAAUGCUUCGAUCCGUCUAAAUAUUGAUAUGGAUGUAUCUAUAUAUUUCUCCCGAUCCAUAUUACUUGUCGAAAUAUUACAUGUAUCUAGACGUUUUUUGAGACAAAUAAUAUGAGUUAGAGGGAGUACUAAAUACGUCCAGAUACAUGUAAUAUUUUGGCAAUUAAUAUGGGACAGAGGGAAUACAUUAUUUUCUUUUUCCUCUGUGGCUUUAUGAGAAUCUACUCGUCCAUUUGAUUAUACACAUGCCGGCCCCUCCUGUACCUCACAUUAAACCAAGUCAUGUUUGUGCUGUA